rnacentral:rRNA from 1 species
CAGUAGCCGCGGGAAUACGUAGGGCGCAAGCGUUAUCCGGAAUUAUUGGGCGUAAAGAGCUCGUAGGCGGUCUGUCGCGUCUGGUGUGAAAUCCCGAGGCUCAACCUCGGGCUUGCAUCGGGUACGGGCAGACUAGAGUGCGGUAGGGGAGACUGGAAUUCCUGGUGUAGCGGUGGAAUGCGCAGAUAUCAGGAGGAACACCGAUGGCGAAGGCAGGUCUCUGGGCCGCAACUGACGCUGAGGAGCGAAAGCAUGGGGAGCGAACAGGAUUAGAUACCCCCGUAGUCCCUGUCUCUUAUAC